CAGAUUGAUCCAGAACAGUCGAGAGAGAGAGAGGUGGGAGCUCUCUGACCCAGAAACGCGUGGCCGACCCGAGGGAGAAACCCGACCAGAACGCCGCCCUCCGGCCACCUCACGACUGCGAACUGGCGCCGUUCUCUUCGUAUCGCCGUCGCCGACACGCCUCUGGAGGUCGAUCGUCCAUGCAUGGAUGAUGGAUCGUGAAGGGAGAUUCGAAGCUCGAAAGGUUUGAAGAUUUCCGGCAACAUCUUCUGCAAAUUCCGGCGACCUUUUUACUUGCAUGUGGUAUGAAAGUCCAUCCUCUCGUCAUGAUCUACACUCUAGUGUAAUUGGUUUUUGAAAUCGAUUAAGUUUUGAUGAUUUGGUUUCUGGGUUGGUUUUGAGCUCGACGCUGUCACCGACGCCGGCGACUUUUCCGGCGAUCUUCUGGGCUGUUCGAGAUUUUGGAGUCUUUGAUUCGUCUUUGAUGGAAACUCUGAACCUUGGGCUCAAAAGGGUGGUCGUUCGAGGUUAAUCCUCAGCGUUGGGCCGAGUUGACCAACUCAGAAUCGAUUAAGCUGGUUCCGGCUUGCUGUGUUCGUCGUCAGGGAGCAGACCUGCAAGUUCGGGGUUCUGUUCUUGAUCUCGUUUAAUCACAAGGUCAGUUGGAAGUUGUUUGAGAAUUCUGGGGAUUCAGUUGUGUAGUUAGCUGCUGAAAUUGAUUUUCCCUUGUUUAUAUGCUUACUGCGAAUUCGUGUUUUUGAGAAUGGUGAAUUGAAUCGAUGUGAUUUCAUUCUUGGUUGAUAGUUACUGACAGUUGAGAACUAUGUUGCGAUUAAGUUGGUUUUUUAUAAGCCCGACUUUUUAUCAAUGUUGCUACGGCAAUUUGUUGAGUAAAAUUAUUGGUGAA